rnacentral:rRNA from 1 species
AUUGAACGCUGGCGGCAGGCUUAACACAUGCAAGUCGAGCGAGCGGCGGACGGGUGAGUAAUGUCUGGGAAACUGCCUGAUGGAGGGGGAUAACUACUGGAAACGGUAGCUAAUACCGCAUACCAUCAGAUGUGCCCAGAUGGGAUUAGCUAGUGGGUGGGGUAAUGGCUCACCUAGGCGACGAUCCCUAGCUGGUCUGAGAGGAUGACCGCCCACAGUGGAACUGAGACACGGUCCAGACUCCAACGGGAGGAAGCAGUGGGAAAUAUUGCACAAUGGGGGCAAGCCGGAUGAAGCAAGGCCGCGUGGGUGAAGAAGGCCUUCGGGUUGUAAAGCACUUUCAGCGAGGAGGCGUUACUCGCAGAGGAAGCACCGGCUAACUCCGUGCCAGCAGCCGCGGUAAUAC